UUAUGGCUCAGGAUGAACGCUGGCGGCGUGCCUAACACAUGCAAGUCGAACGGGGUUACUGGCAGCGGAGAUUCGGUCAAAGCAGCUUUAACCUAGUGGCGGACGGGUGAGUAACGCGUGGGAACCUGCCCUGGUACUGGGGGAUAACAGUGAGAAAUCACUGCUAAUACCGCAUAAGCGCACAGCAUCGCAUGAUGCAGUGUGAAAAACUGAGGUGGUACAGGAUGGCUCCGCGUUGGAUUAGCCAGUUGGCGGGGUAACGGCCCACCAAAGCGACGAUCCAUAGCCGGCCUGAGAGGGUGAACGGCCACAUUGGGACUGAGACACGGCCCAGACUCCUACGGGAGGCAGCAGUGGGGAAUAUUGCACAAUGGGGGAAACCCUGAUGCAAGCGACGCCGCGUGAAGGAAGAAGUAUCUCGGUAUGUAAACUUCUAUCAGCAGGGAAGAUGAUGACGGUACCUGACUAAGAAGCCCCGGCUAACUACGUGCCAGCCGCAGC
rnacentral:rRNA from 1 species